rnacentral:pre_miRNA from 1 species
AAAACCGUUAUUCAGAAUAAUGGUUUUGAUUUAAACCAUGAUUCAGAAUAGCGGUUGUGUUAAAACCAUGAUUCUGAAUAACGGUUUU